UACGAAGGGGGCUAGCGUUGCUCGGAAUUACUGGGCGUAAAGGGCGCGUAGGCGGAUGUUUAAGUCGGGGGUGAAAGCCCGGGGCUCAACCUCGGAAUUGCCUUCGAUACUGGACAUCUUGAGUACGGGAGAGGUGAGUGGAACUCCGAGUGUAGAGGUGAAAUUCGUAGAUAUUCGGAAGAACACCAGUGGCGAAGGCGACUCACUGGCCCGUUACUGACGCUGAGGCGCGAAAGCGGUGGGGAGCAAACAGG
rnacentral:rRNA from 1 species